rnacentral:rRNA from 1 species
UACAUAGGUCGCGAGCGUUAUUCGGAUUUAUUGGGCGUAAAGCAAGCGCAGGCGGAUUGACAAGUUCUGUGUUAAAAGCAGCUGCUCAACAGUUGUUUGCACCGAAUACUGCCAAUCUAGAAUGUGGUAGGAAGUUUUGGAAUUAAAUGUGGAGCGGUGGAAUGUGUAGAUAUAUUUAAGAACACCAGAGGCGAAAGCGAAAACUUAGGCCAUUAUUGACGCUUAGGCUUGAAAGUGUGGGUAGCAAAUG